GCCUCAGACAUGCAAGUCGAACGAGAAAGUUCCCUUCGGGGAGCGAGUAAAGUGGCGCACGGGUGAGUAACACGUAGGUAAUCUACCUUCGGGUGGGGAAUAACGCAGGGAAACUUGCGCUAACACCGCAUAAUGCAGCGGCACCACAUGGUGACAGUUGUUAAAGCGGGGGAUUUUAGGACCUCGCGCCUGAAGAGGAGCCUGCGGCGGAUUAGCUAGUUGGUAGGGUAACGGCUUACCAAGGCGACGAUCCGUAACCGGCCUGAGAGGGCGGUCGGUCACACUGACACUGACAUACGGGUCAGACUCCUACGGGAGGCAGCAGUCGGGAAUUUUGGGCAAUGGGCGAAAGCCUGACCCAGCAACGCCGCGUGAAGGAUGAAAUCCUUCGGGAUGUAAACUUCGCAAGAAUGGGAAGAAUUAGUAGGGGCUAAUACCCCCUAUGAUGACGGUACCAUUUGUAAGCUCCGGCUAACUCCGUGCCAGCAGCCGCGGUAAUACGGGGGGAGCAAGCGUUGUUCGGAUUUACUGGGCGUAAAGGGCGCGUAGGCGGUCAGCACAA
rnacentral:rRNA from 1 species